rnacentral:rRNA from 1 species
AGUGAACGCUGGCGGUAGGCCUAACACAUGCAAGUCGAACAGCAGCACAGUAAGAGCUUGCUCUUACGGGUGGCGAGUGGCGGACGGGUGAGGAAUACAUCGGAAUCUACUUUUUCGUGGGGGAUAACGUAGGGAAACUUACGCUAAUACCGCAUACGACCUACGGGUGAAAGCAGUGGAUCUUCGGACCUUGCGCGAUUGAAUGAGCCGAUGUCGGAUUAGCUAGUUGGCGGGGUAAAGGCCCACCAAGGCGACGAUCCGUAGCUGGUCUGAGAGGAUGAUCAGCCACACUGGAACUGAGACACGGUCCAGACUCCUACGGGAGGCAGCAGUGGGGAAUAUUGGACAAUGGGCGCAAGCCUGAUCCAGCCAUACCGCGUGGGUGAAGAAGGCCUUCGGGUUGUAAAGCCCUUUUGUUGGGAAAGAAAAGCAGCAGGUUAAUACCCCGCUGUUCUGACGGUACCCAAAGAAUAAGCACCGGCUAACUUCGUG